GGUUGAGUAGUGUAACGGUUAUCACGCUCGGUUCUGAUGGCAUGAGUCGUUGGCCUCCGAGCAACCUCGGUUCGACUCCGAGCUCGACCU